UACGGGGGGAGCAAGCGUUGUUCGGAUUUACUGGGCGUAAAGGGCGCGUAGGCGGCCAGCACAAGUCAGUUGUGAAAUCUCCGAGCUUAACUCGGAAAGGUCAACUGAUACUGUGCGGCUAGAGUGCGGAAGGGGCAACUGGAAUUCUUGGUGUAGCGGUGAAAUGCGUAGAUAUCAAGAGGAACACCGGUGGCGAAGGCGGGUCUCUGGGCCGAUACUGACGCUGAGGAGCGAAAGCGUGGGGAGCAAACAGG
rnacentral:rRNA from 1 species